UACGUAGGGGGCGAGCGUUGUCCGGAAUUAUUGGGCGUAAAGAGCGUGUAGGCGGUUCGGUAAGUCUGCCGUGAAAACCUGGGGCUCAACCCCAGGCGUGCGGUGGAUACUGCCGGGCUAGAGGGUGGUAGAGGCGAGUGGAAUUCCUGGUGUAGCGGUGAAAUGCGCAGAUAUCAGGAGGAACACCGAUGGCGAAGGCAGGUCUCUGGGCAUUAACUGACGCUGAGGAGCGAAAGCAUGGGGAGCGAACAGG
rnacentral:rRNA from 1 species